GCUCAGGAUGAACGCUGGCGGCGUGCUUAACACAUGCAAGUCGAACGGGAAUUACUUUAUUGAAACUUCGGUCGAUUUAAUUUAAUUCUAGUGGCGGACGGGUGAGUAACGCGUGGGUAACCUGCCUUAUACAGGGGGAUAACAGUCAGAAAUGGCUGCUAAUACCGCAUAAGCGCACAGAGCUGCAUGGCUCAGUGUGAAAAACUCCGGUGGUAUAAGAUGGACCCGCGUUGGAUUAGCUAGUUGGUGGGGUAACGGCCCACCAAGGCGACGAUCCAUAGCCGGCCUGAGAGGGUGAACGGCCACAUUGGGACUGAGACACGGCCCAGACUCCUACGGGAGGCAGCAGUA
rnacentral:rRNA from 1 species